rnacentral:rRNA from 1 species
UACGAAGGGGGCUAGCGUUGCUCGGAAUUACUGGGCGUAAAGCGCACGUAGGCGGCUCUUUAAGUCGGGGGUGAAAUCCUGGAGCUCAACUCCAGAACUGCCUUCGAUACUGAAGAGCUCGAGUCCGGGAGAGGUGAGUGGAACUGCGAGUGUAGAGGUGAAAUUCGUAGAUAUUCGCAAGAACACCAGUGGCGAAGGCGGCUCACUGGCCCGGUACUGACGCUGAGACGCGAAAGCGUGGGGAGCAAACAGG